AGGGCGCAGGGCGAAUGCCUUGGCACUGGGAGCCGAUGAAAGACGUGAUAAGCUGCGAUAAGCUUCGGGGAGCUGCAAAUAAGCAUUGAUCCGGAGAUUUCUGAAUGAGGAAACUCACUUGAGUUCAUACUCAAGUACGUUGCACUGAAAUUUAAAAUAGGUGCAUCGGGGGAACCGCCUGAACUGAAACAUCUAAGUAGGGCGAGGAAGAGACAUCAAACGAGAUUCCGUAAGUAGUGGCGAGCGAACGCGGAAGAGGGCAAACCGGGAGUAGAAAUACUUCCGGGGUACGGACUGCUUUUAGGACUCAAUCUGUUAACCGAACGGCAUGGGAAGGCCGGUCAGAGAGUGUGAGAACCACGUAGGUGAAAACGGAGAGAGCUGCGCAGGAUCCAGAGUACGGCCAGACACGUGAAACCUGGUCGGAAUACGGGGGGACCACCCUCCAACCCUAAAUACUACCCAGUGACCGAUAGCGUAUAGUACUGUGAAGGAAAGGUGAAAAGCACCCCGGGAGGGGAGUGAAAAAGAACCUGAAACCCUGUGCCUACAAGCACCUAGAGCACGUCAAAGUGUGAUAGGGUACUUUUUGUAGAACGGUCCGGCGAGCGAUUGUAUGCAGCAAGGUUAAGGACUUAAGGUCUGGAGCCGAAGCGAAAGCGAGUUUGAAAAGGGCGUUAAGUUGCAUACAAUGGGCCCGAAACCGGGUGACCUACCCAUGGUCAGGUUGAAGUGGAAGUAAAAUUCCAUGGAGGACCGAACCGACCUCCGUUGAAAAGGCGGCGGAUGAACUGUGGGUAGCGGAGAAAUUCCAAUCGAACCCGGAGAUAGCUGGUUCUCCCCGAAAUAGUUUUAGGACUAGCCUCAAGUUAGAUACCUGGAGGUAAAGCACUGAAUAGCCUAGCGGCCGAGAGGUUAGCGAAGCUUAUCAAACUCAGAAUGCCAGAGUAUUGAUGCUUGGGAGUCAGACAGUGUCAGAUAAAUGUCAUUGUCAAAAGGGAAACAGCCCAGAUCUACAGCUAAGGUCCCAAAGUCAGGUUAAGUGGAAAACGAUGUGAAGAUACGUAGACAACCAGGAUGUUGGCUCAGAAGCAGCCACACAUUCAAAGAGUGCGUAAUAGCUCACUGGUCGAGCGUCUUUGCGCGGAGAAUUUAACGGGGCUAAACCUGACACCGAAGCUUAGGCAAUACAGCAAUGUAUUGGGUAGGGGAGCGUUGUAUACGCGGUGAAACAGUAGCGCAAGCGGCUGUGGAGUGUAUAGAAGUGAGAAUGCCGGAAUGAGUAGCGCGAAUGCAGUGAGAAUCUGCAUGGCCGAAAGCCUCAGGUUUCUGGAGGAAGGUUCGUCCGCUCCAGGUUAGUCGGGAGCUAAGGUGAGGCCUAACGGCGUAGCCGAUGCACAGACGGUAGAGAUUCCGUCACCACCAAAAGAGUUAAGCACAGGGACACAUUUGAAGUCUCGGAGCCGGGUGUUGGUUCCGGUAGCGAUCGAGGGAAGUUAGUACCGAAGUCCGGGAUGGAAGAUGGCGAGAAAAGCUGUGUGUAUUUCUGCGGUGCCCGUACCGCAAACCGACACAGGUAGGUAGGAAGAAGAUUCUAAGGCCAACGGGAGAAGGGUUGUUAAGGAACUCGGCAAAUUGACCCCGUAACUUCGGGAGAAGGGGUGCUCCAGAGAUGGAGCCGCAGAGAAUCGGCCCAAGCAACUGUUUACCAAAAACACAGGUUUGUGCUAAAUCGAAAGAUGACGUAUACGAGCUGACGCCUGCCCGGUGCUGGAAGGUUAAGAGGAGAUGUGCAAGCAUUGAAUCGAAGCCCCAGUGAACGGCGGCCGUAACUAUAACGGUCCUAAGGUAGCGAAAUUCCUUGUCAGGUAAGUUCUGACCCGCACGAAUGGCGUAAUGAUUUGGGCACUGUCUCAACAGCCCGCCCGGCGAAAUUGUAGUACCGGUGAAGAUGCCGGUUACCCGCGACAAGACGGAAAGACCCCAUGGAGCUUUACUGUAGC
rnacentral:rRNA from 1 species